rnacentral:rRNA from 1 species
UACGGGGGGGGCAAGCGUUGUUCGGAAUUACUGGGCGUAAAGGGCUCGUAGGCGGCCAACUAAGUCAGACGUGAAAUCCCUCGGCUUAACCGGGGAACUGCAUCUGAUACUGGAUGGCUUGAGUUCGGGAGAGGGAUGCGGAAUUCCAGGUGUAGCGGUGAAAUGCGUAGAUAUCUGGAGGAACACCGGUGGCGAAGGCGGCAUCCUGGAUCGACACUGACGCUGAGGAGCGAAAGCCAGGGGAGCAAACGGG